ACAAUGUAAAAAUUCACUCCUAAUAUUCUAUACCUAGCUGUCCACUCUCUCUUAGUUUUCUCUCUAGGAGUUCUCUUCUCAUGUGUUGAGACUUGCCCACACAAACACUAGGUUGUUUUAGAGAAAGACUUGGAAGACUGUGGUUUGGUUUCAAAGCGGUUGGAUUCCUUGCAAUACCUAGCAUUCAGCAAGGACAAAUGGUUAGGGAAUCCAAAUGGUGUAGUCAUUGUUCCGCUACGCAUCUCGAAAGAAUGGCCACAAGUGCAAAACAUAUGAUGAAGAUGAUUAUGAGCAUAACAAACAUGGGAGACAGGAGAUUUGGGCAGAUCAUGAAAAUGUUUAUUUAAUUUUUUUUUUUACUUUUGUAAGUUUUCUUAUUUUCAUGAAAUCUGUGAAUUUUGGGAUAUUUUAUGAAUGCAUAUAUGAGAUUAAAAUUGGUUUAGUUUUCUAA